CGUGUGUCGCGACUUAAGGCGGGGGAGGUGACGGUCGCGGUACUCGCUGCGUCCGCUAGUGCCCGCUGGGGUGCUGGAGGCCUCUCCUUGGGGCCCCUGCCGUGGGUCGGGGUCGCGGCGAUGCGGCCCGUAAGCUGAAGGGAGCCGGGGGUCUGCCGGCAUGGGAGAGGCGGAGAGCGGCCGCCGAGGCUGUGUGAGGUGGUGUUUCGGUACUGUUCCCAGUCUCCCGGUUUCACUCGGCUGUUCUUGGGAGCCCUUCUGCACACAGUUUACACACGCACCGGGUCGCUGCCUUUAUUCAGCUUGUCGGGAGGAUAUCAAAAGCAACACCCAGGCAAAGAUGUAGAUGACCAAGAGGUGUUUUCCCCUCCUGGCUUGGGAUUAAAUUUCUCAGUCACAGGUAAGGUCUUUGUGUAUUAUUUGCUGGGGCAAAUAGAAGGCAGGGAAGGUUGCAUUUCUGCUGCUGGUACUCCAUUUGGAAGGGCUCUUUGUACAAAUGGUGGAGGGUGCUGGGAAAACAAAGUGAUCUCAAUGACAUCCCUGUGCCUGAAUUAAACUGACCUGCUGCUGUCACACCAGACCUUGGGACAGUGAUGGUAUGCUCAGUGGAGAGCUGGAGGGAAUUAAGGCUGCAGGUGGACACUCUGUGGGCAGGUUGCCUGUGCCUGCAACAGCAAAGACCAAGUGGUUUUUGUGCUUGUGAACUGAUGGCAUUGGUCCCUUGCUUGUUUUGAGAGGCUGUUGCUGUUCUGACACAUACAGCAGCGUGCGUGUUGCUGCCCGUGCCACAGUGGUGUGCACAAACCACAGGCACUGCUUGUGUAGAAUGAAAUGGACCUCCGAUAAGAGACAGAUUUUGAGGCUCUGUUUUUUAAAUGCCUACCACAGUGUCCUGGUUCUGGCUGGGAUAGAGUUAAUUUUCUUCUAGUAGCUGGUGCAGUGCUGUGUUUUGGCUUUAGUCUGAGAACAGCACUGGUGGUGUUUUAGUUGUUGCUAAGUAGCACUUGCCCUGAUCAAGGACUUUUUCAUUCUCAUGCUCUGCCAGUGAGGAGGGGCACAAGAAGCUGGGAAGCAGCAGACAGGACACCUGAGCCAAACUAGCAAAAGGGGUAUUCCAUACCACAGGACCUCAUGCCCAGUAUAUAAAC
rnacentral:lncRNA from 14 species